rnacentral:lncRNA from 1 species
GUUUGCUGAAUUAAUGGUCCCUAUCGUAGCUAAUGUCUGAAUGCUUACCAUGACCAGGCACGGUAUAGGCAAUCUCCAUGCAUGAUCUCAUUGAAUUCAACGAUUUCCUGUAGUCUUAGAGACCUGUCAAUAUCUCCUGCUACAUGAGCUCAGCUGCCAUCAAGCACUGUGUUCGCUGCUUCCUUCACAUCUGCUGUCUUAAGGGAGCUCUCACUUCCAUGCGGCCCCCGUGGAGCUGUAAUUUGGCCUCAAUGGGACCAGAUGCCAGGUUUCUCACCUGGCUUCUUCCUAAGGCUUCCAGCCUUAGAGAAAGUUACUUAGGCCUUAUUGGAACUAUGGGCAGCCAGGGCCCCUGUCACCAACCUGUCUCCAGACCUAUGGCAAGGCCUUCAGCAGGAUUCUGCCCUCCAGAGCCACUUCCUCUGCUCCCCCAGCCUCCAGUGCAGUAUCUCACUGAAUGGUGAAAGCACAGCUGUCUCUUUCCCAGCUGUAUCUUGCCCCCCAGCACACUUCCUGGCUGAGAUAAACAUUCAGCAUUUUUUUUUUUUUGAGAUGGAGUCUCACUCUGUUGCCCAGGCAGGAGGGCAGUGGCGCGAUCUGGGCUUACUGCAACCUCCGCCUCCCUCCCGGAUUCAAGCAAUUCUGCCUCAGCCUUCUGAGUAGCUGGGAUUACAGGUGCCCACCACCAAGCCCGGCUAAUUUUUGUAUUUUUAGUAGAGACAGGGUUUUACCAUGUUGGCCAGGCUGGUCUCGAACUCCUGACCUCAAGUGGUCUGCCCACCUCGGCCUCCCAAAGUGCAGGGAUUGCAGGUGUGGGCCACGACAUCCGGCCAACACUCAGUAUUUGACUAAUAAAUGAAUAAAUAGUCCGUAGGUUCUGGAAACUUCAGAAAACCUUAGCCAAACAUCCUUCUGUCAUGAAAAUUGUAUCAAAGUUUUCAAAAAUAAUACAUUUAAUUCUACAGAACAAUUUGCCAGAACAAGAAAGGCAGUAUUUUUUGGGGGAAGAUAUCAACGAUUCAAUUUUUGUAAAGUCAACUACUUUGCAAAUAUCUAGGAAAAUACCUGAGGGAAGGAGUUAAUUGUUGUGCCUUUGGAGGAGUGGAGAACUUUCAGUAUAUACUGAAUUUUCAAAAAUCUUAACAAACGUGUCAUUUUGUAAUUAAAAAUCACAAAAGAGUGGGCUGGGUAUGGUGGCUCACGCCUGUAAUCCUACCACUUUGGGAGGCCAAGGCGAGUGUAUCGCUUGAGCUCAGGAGUUUGAAACCAGCCUGGGCAAUAUGGUGAAAUCCCAUCUCUACAAAAAAAUUAGCCCAGCAUGAUGGUGUGUGCCUGUAGUCCCAGCCUCCCCAGUAGCUGGGUCUACAGGUGCCCGCCACCACGCCUGGCUAAUUUUUUGUAUUUUUAGUAGAGGCGGGAUUUCACCGUGUUAGCCAGGAUGGUCUCAAUCUCCUGACCUCGUGAUCCGCCCGCCUCGGCCUCCCAAAGUGCUGGGAUUACAGGCAUGAGCCACUGCGCCCGGCCAAUUUUUGUGUUUUUAGUAGAGAUGGGGUUUCACCAUCUUGGCCAGGUUGGUCUUAAACUUCUGACAUUGUGAUCCACCCGCCUCGGCCUCCCAAAGUGCUGGGAUUACAGGUGUGAGCCACUGCGCCAGGCCAAGACUCAGUCUC